UUUUGAGCCGAAACCUGUGGGAGAAGACUCCUUUAAAGCCUCAUGAGUGAAGAAUCCAGAUUUUCGGAGACAAGAGUAGGCAAGACAGAAGAUAAAGUUGUAGAGGAGUGGACCUGCUGGUGAGAAGAACAUGUGGAUGAAAAGAGAAGACUGACAUGGAGACGAAUGUUGCUUAGAAGAUGGGAAAUGGAAAAGGUGGAAAGAGAAGUUGAUGGGAGGACAAAGAGGACAGACAGCAUGUCAGAGUCCGAGGUCUGUACAUGGUAUGAUACACACCAAACGAC